rnacentral:rRNA from 1 species
UACGUAGGGCGCAAGCGUUGUCCGGAAUUAUUGGGCGUAAAGAGCUCGUAGGCGGUUUGUCGCGUCUGCUGUGAAAACCUAAGGCUCAACCUUGGGCUUGCAGUGGGUACGGGCAGACUAGAGUGCGGUAGGGGUGACUGGAAUUCCUGGUGUAGCGGUGGAAUGCACAGAUAUCAGGAGGAACACCGGUGGCGAAGGCGGGUCUCUGGGCAACAACUGACGCUGAGGAGCGAAAGCGUGGGGAGCGAACAGG